rnacentral:rRNA from 1 species
AAUUCAGCGAGCAUACACCCGGAUCGAAAGGUCCAGGAAAUCUCUGAAAAUUCAUCGUGAUGGGGAUAGAUUAUUGCAACUAUUGAUCUUCAACGAGGAAUACCUAGUAAGCGUGAGUCAUCAGCUCGCGUUGAUUACGUCCCUGCCCUUUGUACACACCGCCCGUCGCUCCUACCGAUUGAAUGAUCCGGUGAAGUUUACGGAUCGCGGCGUUGCCGACGGUCACCCGUUGGCGACGCUGCAUGAAGUUCAUUAAACCUUAUCAUUUAGAGGAAGGAGAAGUCGUAACAAGGUUGCCUGUCUUUGGUUCUUUUGCGAGGACACGAGACACGGAAGCCUGAGCGGCCUCCAUGCAAAUGGAGGUGAUGCUGGUGCCAAUCUUGGUGGCUCACGGCAUCCACGCGCUAGCUCGUACAGUUGAAUGUCGAGCGACAUCGCCCAAUUGCGGAAAUAUCUCAGUGGAUGUUGCUACCAAGCACGAGGCAUUCGUUUGGGUGCGUUUGCUACUCAACACUGCACCGUGUGGCCUGGUAGGGAGAAUCUUGGCCUCCCAAACCCAGGGUAUGGUUACAAUGCAACCUGCCUUUAGCGAGACAAUCCGCAUCCAACCCAGGCCUAUGGCAUGGGGCAGUUCACAGACUGAACGGCGAUGGGUUGUGCAAGCCUACAUGGCACGGCAUGGCCUAAGAUACAGUCGGCGAGCAAGGAGUACCAUGCUCAAUCGUGCGAAAGCAGGACAUCACCGUUCCGUAGGUGAACCUGCGGAAGGAUCAUUGACACACGUGCACUAUUGUGCUGGCGGGGUAGGCGGCUACGCACCGCUGCUUGAGCUCGUUGGCACUCGCCUCCUGUAAGUACGACAGAAAGCUCCCGUCGGAAUGGAGGCUUGACCCAUUUCUCGUACCCCCAAUGGCAUGGGGACAAGGGUAAAGGAGUGGGACCAUUGGGUUUGCAAGGGACUGUCUGCUUUUU